AGGGAUGUAGCGCAGCCUGGUAGCGCCCUUGUUUUGGGUACAAAAUGUCAUGGGUUCCAAUCCUGUCAUUCCUACC
rnacentral:tRNA from 1 species